rnacentral:rRNA from 1 species
CUACGGGUUGCUCCAGUGAGGAAUAUUGGACAAUGGGCGAAAGCCUGAUCCAGCCAUGCCGCGUGCAGGAUGACAGCCCUACGGGUCGUAAACUGCUUUUAUACAGGAAUAAACCCCCUUACGUGUAAGGGGCUGAAUGUACUGUAAGAAUAAGGAUCGGCUAACUCCGUGCCAGCAGCCGCGGUCAUACGGAGGAUCCAAGCGUUAUCCGGAUUCAUUGGGUUUAAAGGGUCCGCAGGCGGAUUAUUAAGUCAGUGGUGAAAUGCUGUCGCUUAACGAUAGCACUGCCAUUGAUACUGGUAAUCUUGAGUAUAGUUGAGGUGGGCGGAAUAAGUCAUGUAGCGGUGAAAUGCAUAGAUAUGACUUAGAACACCGAUUGCGAAGGCAGCUCACUAAGCUAUUACCGACGCUCAGGGACGAAAGCGUGGGGAGCGAACAGGAUUAGAUACCCGAGUAGUC